rnacentral:rRNA from 1 species
UACGUAGGGUGCAAGCGUUGCUCGGAAUCACUGGGCGUAAAGGGCGUGUAGGCGGGACAGUAAGUCGGGCGUGAAAUCCCUGGGCUCAACCCAGGAACUGCACUCGAAACUACUAUUCUUGAGUGUCAGAGAGGAAAGCGGAAUUCCUGGUGUAGAGGUGAAAUUCGUAGAUAUCAGGAGGAACACCAGUGGCGAAGGCGGCUUUCUGGACGAUAACUGACGCUGAGACGCGAAAGCGUGGGGAGCAAACAGG